UUAUCUCUCCCUUUUACAUCGACGGUUCUUCUCUCUUUUCUGGUGGUGGGGUGCUGAGCUAGCCCACCGUACGUGAAAUCGCAUAGUGAUGCGGUUCCAAAAUUUCGGCGACUGGAGGCGUUGCGGCCGGCGAGCAACUGCGAUUGGGCAUUGUGGCCGGCGGCGAGCGGCUGCAGCUAGCUAGAAUUCAGGCGGUGGCGGUCGCUCAGGGCUGCAGCCAAGUCCUACUAGAUUCGGCUUCAUUCAUGGACUUCGCGAUGGGCUGAGCGGAAGGCGGCCACGCGGGCGUACGGCCUCCCUGGCCACCGGACGAACGUCCACGAACGCCUCUGGCCCGAGCCCCCCGCUGCCGUCCGCUGGCCACCGGAGGCGGGGAUUCACCGGCGGGGCGCACAUCAGGUACUACGACGCGGCGCCGGCGUUGGAGGCGGCAGCAAGGACCUUACCGAGCUCCAGGCCAUGGGCUUCGUCGCUGGAGACGCGGGCAAGGAGAAGAUCCUCUCGAGACCCAAGUCUCUCUAUGUGGCUGCCCCCUCUGGUGAUCAGCCCUUCUCCCAUGAUGCGUCCGGCAAGAGAGAGCAUCUCCGGGACGAUGCAGGAUUGCAGGCGGCCACGAGUGUCAGCUUUUAGUUGGCUCUUCCCCACCAACUAAAUCCUUCUCAAGUGGAUCUGAAGGUUCUGGUUUGCAGCUACCAUCGACCCAUCUCUCGUUCUGAGGUAACGCCUUACAGCAAAUCAUUGUGUGUGGUGUUGGCCAUUACGUAAGUUGCAACUUUAGUUUGAGUCGUUAGAAUAUACAGAGUAGGUAGAAGAAGCAGGAAUCUUGCAAAUUAUCCCAGGGUUGAUGUGCUUCCUCCGGGGAUUAGUAGACAAUUCCCUAUCUGAUUCCAAGCUCUGAAUAUGAAUUAAAACAAUCGAAGAUGCCUUUUAGUUAUUACCGCAGUCUCUCUAAGAUGAUUGUGUUCAGAGUUUCAGUUCACAUCUCCAGUAUGGGCUGUGAACAUUUGAAUUAACAUAAUUCCUUUUAAUGUUUUUCGCAGUCCUAAUGUUUGGGUUGCAAGCAUCUAGAAUUACACAAGUAUCAUUCAACUGAGUUCAGACUGGUGUGGUUAACCAUCACCAAAAGAUAAACAAUAGCUUGUUAUGCAAAUGGCUUUAAAGAUAAAAAUGGGUCGUGUCAAGAAAUAUUGAAAAUAAUCUUUGUGCAGCAAGGCACUGCUUGAGUAGAAUACGCACUUAUUUGGAGGGAUUAUAGAAGCCAAGCCUUUUUUUUAGUCUUGCUGCGAAAUUGAGGUAAGCAAUAGGGAGUUUCUUGAAACCCUGAAUGAGGAGAUGAGCCUUUUUAGUGUGAAUUUUACUGGCUGAUAUUCUUUUUUUUAAAGUAAAUGGCGAGAAUUGAUAUCUUGGGUUCAGUCACAGAUAAGUAUUUAGAGGUUAAUUUGGAUGCUUCUUUGGAUAGAUAUGCUUGGAAACCAUAUACUAAAUAGGCUCUUUAGUGUGUAUUCUUUAUAUUUAGCUUUAUAGUUUACUAAUGGGCACACCACACUAACUUUUUCUAGAAAUUUCGUAAAGUGAAGUGGUUAUAUGGUAUCUGUGUAAAGGCGUGUGCUUACCAAACAUGUUUUGUACUACAAAGUACUCAGUUUAUCACUUGUUUUCCUGCUCUUUCUCAUUAUGUUUGGCUGUUCAACAGUUGCUGUAUGGUUUUUGAAAAAAAACUGAGGCCGCUUGCUACUAUGGAAAUGACGCAUUUGAAAUAAGAAACAAUGCCCCUAUCUCCUACCCAGUUUUGGUGUUCACCAAUUUUACAUUGGAUUUGCUUUUGGUCUUGCAUAAUGGUGGAGAAGCAAACUUUUUGGAAGCCGACUCUGGUUGAGCUUAAUGUUUUUCAUGUGCAAGAGGAUGAGUAGUUGCUAACGGACUUGCUAACCAGCUGGUGUUGUAAGCUGGUUAACUUAGAUUCUAAGCCUUUUAUGCUUGCUGGAUAUCUCGUUACUGGCUUCAUCGCCAUCAAGACCUGGCUUCAUUGUCAUCAAGACCUGGCUAUGCUAAUUUGACCUUGUUUAGUUAAAAGGAGGACUUGUAUUAAUAUCCAUACAUGAUUGGUAUACAUAUAAGAUUUCCAGUACAUGUAGUUACUGGUAUGGCUCCAGUAAGUCCAUUGAUAUCGCUAUUUUUCAUUUCGUUAUAAAACAAAUCAUUUUCUGAUCAUUAUUUUUAAUGGUACGAUCAAUAAAGAUUUAGUGGUGAUAUGUAAAAUUUCAUAACCGUCAUCCAAAUCUAUUACCUCAAUUUUUUUUUGUUGAGAUAUUGAACUUGUUUCUACUGCAUCUCUGAUAUAUGUGCUUGUUCAAGAAUUUAUCAUAUAGAAGGGCGUGACUAACCAUGCAUCUCCAUUCUAGUUAUGAAUUAAACGAAGCUCACACAUGGGUUCUUAUGCUUGUUGCGAUGACUUAUCCUUCCUGCUCCCUUGAACUCUUCUAUUACAUAAUUGGUUCGUCAGAAAAUAUGUAUGAUUGAGACGAGAAUACGAGAUAGUAGUGUCUUUAUUGCUUAUGUUCUCUUAAAUUUUUACACAGUUGGCUGCCUAGUUAUAAAGGUAAUACACACAUGUUUUCUGCAUGCCGUUUCUUUUCAUUCAGCACUAUUUUUCUCUACUCGUUACAUUUUCAGCUUUCUAAUGUAAGUAUACAACAGAUUCUAUGCCGAGUGAAUUUAUCUGCCAAUCAUUUAAUAUAUUACAUUCCUGGCAACCUGUAGUGCCGUAAUCAUCAAUAGCUGAAAAUACUAAAAAGAAAACAAAAUGCUAAUGGAUAGAAACCCUCCCUAAUAUAUUCAGAUGUGUAAUCUUAUUAAAACAUGUUCCGAAAGCUUGUAUUUCUUACUCGUUGUAAUUUUCUAGCCACAUGAAGCCAUACGGUUUGUGUGAUAUUAGGCGGACAUCCCACCAUGCCAUUAAUUCAGUUUUUUUUCUUACAUGCUCGUUUCUGUACGUACAGGUAUGGUUAAAACUUAUCAAUUCAUUUGUUGAGGACUAGACGCUUUUCAAGUAAUUGAAUGCUGAAUUUGGUAGUUCCAAAAUAGCCAGCUCUCGCCCUGCAAAAGAAAAAGGAUGAUCUUCACAUCAUGAAGAAAGGAGAAGUUCUCAUCACGUCAGAAUGUGGCCCCCAAGGACGCUGAUGAGAUGAUCCACGCAAUGUAAUUUAUAGCACCAUGUCUUGUAAUUUAUAUAUGCAAUUUUGUUUUAGUCAAA